UUCACUUUAUCUAUGAUCAAGAUGAAUUAGAUUUGAAUCAAGGAAGGUUAAGCCUCCCAUAUGUCAAGGAUAACCACUAAUCUUUAACUCAUUGAUCAAAAAGAAAAAGAAAAAAAAAGAUGAAUAAGUAUGUACAUAAAUGGAAUUAAAAUGAGGUAUCCAACACACAUUGAUCAGACAGGAAUAGUAAACAGAAGCAAAAU
rnacentral:lncRNA from 1 species